AAACAUGAAAUCUAUUUAAUCCUCACAACAACCCUUGGAAUCUUCAACUCCUUUAAAACCAGAAGCUACAGUGCGCGGCUCUGAAGGUUUCUCCUGCCUGUGAACUUCCACGGUUCCAAGAGCUGGACUGCAAACUUCUAGGUUGCAGAACUCAUCAUUCUGACAGCCUGCCUGCCUGAAAUGGCUCGAAGAAGAAUGAGAGAUCCUCCUUGCCUGCUUGAUGAAGGCAGCAGCCAUGUUUUGGAAGACACAUAGCGAGGAACAGAAGGUGGGCAGCUCUAGGACAGCCUCCAGCUCCCAGCCAGCAAAAAGCAAGGUCCUUGGUCAUACAGCCUCAAGGAAUGAAUUCAGCCACAACCUGAGUGAGCUUAGAAUUGGAUCCAUCCCAGCUGAGCCUCCCAAUGAGAAUGCAAUCCAGCCAAGACCUUGACUGUGAACCUGUGGGAUCUGACACAGAAGACCCAGCUAAGCUAUUCCUGGUCUCCUGAUCCAUGAAAACUGUGAGAUAAUAAAUGUUUGUGUUGUUUUAAGUUACUACCUUUGAUCUACUCUGCUACUCAGUGGUUAACAAACUGAUAGAUGGCUCUUAAAGACACAUGCUUUGGGAUCUGGAAGUCCCAAGUAAUCUGGGGGAAAUUCAGUUUCACUCUAAUCAGUCAAUGCAUUGGCAGGAAAUUUUUGCCAGCCAACUCAUAGCAAGACUUCAGAACAAGGGCUUGGAGAGUGAAAACGGGGCUAGGCCUGGGGAGAGUGAGAGAGAGGCUUAGAAAAAUGAGAGUCACACAGUCAGACAGGGAACAGGUAGAGCCCUGGGCCUGAAGUCAGGUUCUGGGUUCCAGACUUUGCAGAUGGUUUGCUAGUAGGCUUUGGGCAAAGCAGCCUCUGUCUGGGUCUCUGUGAUCUCAUCUGCAGGCCAAGUGGUAUAAACAGUCUGAGCUCCACAGCUCCCUCUGGCUCUGGCUUUCUCAGUGAAUGGCAAUUCAAGUUUGCCAAGGAACUCUACAGCUUAGAGU
ensembl:lncRNA